rnacentral:lncRNA from 1 species
GGCCACACACCUGCCCCCCAGGAGCAGAACAUCCGUGGGGCUAGAGUCCAGUUAGAUGGGUGGGGAGCCUCGCCCUGUGCCCUUUGACUCAACUUGUAGUGCUCUUGCUGGGCUCCUGUGCACUGCCCCACAGCCUGCUCUGUCACCAGCCCCACUGUGAUGUCAUAAGAGCCCAGCCACCCAGUGGUAAAUUCCAAGGUGGUAAAAUAUUAAAGAUAUAAAGUGGUGGCUGGCCACAGACUAGCGGGUAUACACUGAGGUGUAGACUCACGAGUGUGUAGACUCACGAGUAUACUCUCCAUUACUGACGUUUACCUUUUGUCUGUGGGAAUUUCCCACAAUAUGGGAAAACGCAGGAGCUUUUUUUACUGGUUCCACCGCAGGCCCCGGCAGCAGUGGCAACCCUAAUGGUCUCCUCUUGUUCCUUCAAACUUUUCGGAUGGCCGGGUUUACCCUGCAGCUCCUGCGAGUGUGCCUCACCUGGGAACCCGAUACCCUGCUCGAUUUUUGAGUCAUCACGGAGGUCUUCAGCCCCAUUUAGCAUCCGGAAGGAAUUUCACCCCGACCUUGAGCGCCCUACAGCAGGCCCUGCCUCAUCUGGUGUGGAGGCCCCCCUCAAGGAAGAAAGUCAUGCUGUCUGCAAGGCACUUUGUACGCAGAAGCCCCGUGAGGCUGAGGCUGCCUUUGUUACAAGUGCCAGCCCCGAUGGAGGUGACAACAGCAGAAGAAGAGCCGGAAGAACCAAUGGAGGCGAUAGCAGAAAAAGAGCAGGAAGAACCAAUGGAAGAACCAAUGGAUGAUGAGAAGCUGCUGGAGAUUCUCAUCGCCAAGAAGGCAGUGAUGAAGCUGCGACAGAAGAAAGAAGGGAAGGAGGUGGACUGCGCGAAGAUGACACCACUGCGAAAGGAGUGGGACGCCAUGACUCCCCAUCCCUUCUGGAACCAGAGAGCCCAACCACAGCAGCGGCCCAGUCCGCAGCAGGUCUCUGACGCCAGGGCCCUUAGCUCCUCAGGCCAUGCCCUUCCCUCGCUGUCAAGGGAAUCCCCCAUGCAGGGUCUAGGUUGGCCUUACUCAUGGGGCUCCUGUGGGCCUUGCACUGGAGCACAUGGAAUGGGAAGGCUUCUCCCACUCCCCUGUGAGGCCAGGCCCCCUGUGCUGGAUUCCCCACCCUGGCCUCUGCACCCUGGGCAUCUUUCUCCAGGAACCCUGAAAGCUUCUUGUGGGUCCAAUGAGGAGGGAGGCAUGUCUGACCACACUCCCAGAACUUACUGUGGCCCUGUUAUAAAUUGUUUCAUUAAAUGUUAG